UCUCACUUAAGAGGAAAGACUGUUCCAUCUGAAGAGGAAAUGUCUGAGAGGUGAUCUCAUAUCUUCAUGAAUAUCUAGGGUGUAAGAGUCAAGCUUAUGGGUUGAACUCUUUUCUGUGGUAUGCAGCGACAGAACAAGGGGCAGUGGUAAGAAACUGGAACCCAGGAAGUUCCACAUUAUCACAAGAAGAACUUCUUUACUGUGAGAUAGACAGUGCUUUGGAGUAGGCUGCCCAGAGAGGUUGUGGAGCUGUCCUUCUCUGGAGAUAUUCAAGACUGAUCUGUACGUCUACCUAUGCAAUCUGCUGUAGGAAACAUGCUUUAGCAGAGAACAUGAAAAAAAAGACCCAAGUUGAAGAUUACUAACAAGGCUCACGAAGGUAAGUAAUUUUUCAAGCCUGAUACAAGAGGGAUUGUUCCUGUGGUGGGGAGAUCUACUAUUACACCUCUGCUGUUCGCUGGAGAAGAAACACUUUAACUGCUUCCUCCUAUGCUAUGAGAGGGUGUCGGAGGACAUGGUCUUGUCCUGGUCUUCUGAACAGCUUAGUCACUCAACCUCUUCUGGUUCCUGGUGUAGAAACCAGCCACUCAUGUCCAGAUGCUACUAAGUUUGAGGAGUUGCGAAAUUGGCUCAUGAGAAGAUUGACUGUGGAAGAGGUCUCUGUUGAUACUGGAAAAGGUCUUCUCACACGAAGCUGUGUUUAUGGGACUUACAGCUGAUGGAACAUGACAACCUGCUACUAGAGAGAAGAAGAAGGUAGGAUGAAGAUACAGGAAAGAGAGGGAAGGCCCUCUGCCACAGCUCGCUGCAAAGAGAUGCAACAUCCUCCUUGGGAUGGUCUCUCCCCACUACAGCAGCUGGUGAUGACAGUGGUGUUGUAGCCAGCAUAGUCAUCAUCCCAUUUUCUCCUCCAUGGACUGGCACAGCCCAGGUGGCCAUUUCACACAGGACCUGACAUUUCCCCCC
rnacentral:lncRNA from 1 species